UUACAACCAUAUCAGGUUGAAACACUGGUUUCUGUACGCUCACCUAAGUUAAGCAGCGUCGAGAUUGGUCACUACUUAGAUGGGUGACCACUUGGGAAUACGAAGUGUUGUAA